rnacentral:rRNA from 1 species
GACGAACGCUGGCGGCGUGCUUAACACAUGCAAGUCGAACGGAAAGGCCCCUUUGGGGGUACUCGAGUGGCGAACGGGUGAGUAACACGUGAGUAACCUGCCCUUGCCUUCGGGAUAACUUCAGGAAACUGGGGCUAAUACCGGCUAGGAAUCCUUGCUGCCUGGAGGGGGGUGGAAGGCUUCGGCGGUUUUGGAUGGACUCGCGGCUUAUCAGCUUGUUGGUGGGGUAGUGGCUUACCAAGGCUUUGACGGGUAGCCGGCCUGAGAGGGCGACCGGCCACAUUGGGACUUAGAUACGGCCCAGACUCCUACGGGAGGCAGCAGUGGGGAAUAUUGCACAAUGGGCGGAAGCCUGAUGCAGCAACGCCGCGGGCGGGAUGACGGGCUUCGGGUUGUAAACCGCUUUCAGCAGGGGCGAAGCUUGUGGUGACGGUACCUGCAGAAGAAGCACCGGCUAACUACGUG